AAUGUAUGACGCCAUUGAUUUUUUGUUUAACGUUUGACCAUUCGUUUUAUUCAAAAUUUUAUGUAAUUAUUAUUUAUUUUAUUAUGACUUGAUUCGUCAUCAAAUAUUUUUUAAGCAUGACAUAAAUAUUUUCAUAUUUGCAAAAAAAAUUGAAUAAAACGAAUGGUCAAACGUUGGUCGAAAAGCCAACGGCGUCAUACAUU
rnacentral:pre_miRNA from 1 species